UACGAAGGGGGGCUAGCGUUGUUCGGAAUUACUGGGCGUAAAGCGUGCGCAGGCGGUUUUGUAAGCCAGAUGUGAAAUCCCCCGGGCUUAACCUGGGAAUGGCAUUUGGGACUGCAAGGCUUGAGUGCGGCAGAGGAGACUGGAAUUCCUGGUGUAGCGGUGAAAUGCGCAGAUAUCAGGAGGAACACCGAUGGCGAAGGCAGGUCUCUGGGCUGUAACUGACGCUGAGGAGCGAAAGCAUGGGGAGCGAACAGG
rnacentral:rRNA from 1 species